rfam:Ricinus communis ctg_1100012358147, whole genome shotgun sequence.
GAUGGGAAAUGAUGAGAAGUUAUUUGAAGUUAGCAAAGGCAAUAGCUAUGCUGAAUGUGGCUUUGCACGUCAGUCUGAUCCCAUA